AGUGAACGCUGGCGGUAGGCCUAACACAUGCAAGUCGAACGGCAGCACAGUAAGAGCUUGCUCUUACGGGUGGCGAGUGGCGGACGGGUGAGGAAUACAUCGGAAUCUACUUUUUCGUGGGGGAUAACGUAGGGAAACUUACGCUAAUACCGCAUACGACCUACGGGUGGAAGCAGGGGAUCUUCGGACCUUGCGCGGUUGAAUGAGCCGAUGUCGGAUUAGCUAGUUGGCGGGGUAAAGGCCCACCAAGGCGACGAUCCGUAGCUGGUCUGAGAGGAUGAUCAGCCACACUGGAACUGAGACACGGUCCAGACUCCUACGGGAGGCAGCAGUGGGGAAUAUUGGACAAUGGGCGCAAGCCUGAUCCAGCCAUACCGCGUGGGUGAAGAAGGCCUUCGGGUUGUAAAGCCCUUUUGUUGGGAAAGAAAAGCAGCAGGUUAAUACCCCGCUGUUCUGACGGUACCCAAAGAAUAAGCACCGGCUAACUUCGUG
rnacentral:rRNA from 1 species